rnacentral:rRNA from 1 species
ACCCUACGGGACGCAGCAGUGGGGGAUAUUGCACAAUGGGGGGAACCCUGACGCAGCGACGCCGCGUGGGCGAUGGAGUGCUUCGGCAUGUAAAGCCCUAUCAGCAGGGAAGAAAAUGACGGUACCUGACUAAGAAGCCCCGGCUAAACACGUGCCAGCAGCCGCGGUAAUACGUAUGGGGCAAGCGUUAUCCGGAUUUACUGGGCGUAAAGGGAGCGUAGGCGGCCGGGCAAGACUGAUGUGAAAUACCGGGGCCCAACCCCGGGGCAGCAUGGGGAACUGACAGGCUGG